AUACGGAGGAUGCAAGCGUUAUCCGGAUUUAUUGGGUUUAAAGGGUGCGUAGGCGGUUUGCUAAGCGGGAGGUGAAAUGCCGGCGCUCAACGUCGGAAGUGCCUCCCGAACUGGUGGACUGGAAUGACUCUGCCGUGGGAGGAAUGUGUAGUGUAGCGGUGAUAUGCUUAGAGAUUACACAGAACACCGAUUGCGAAGGCAUCUCACGAAGGGUUGAUUGACGCUGAGGCACGAAAGCGUGGGGAUCAAACAGGAUUAGAUACCCUGGUAGUCCACGCAGUAAACGAUGAUGGCUAACCGCUGGUUUAUUCGGAUCAGUGGCCAAGCGAAAGCGAUAAGCCAUCCACCUGGGGAGUACGACCGCAAGGUUGAAACUCAAAGGAAUUGACGGGG
rnacentral:rRNA from 1 species